rnacentral:lncRNA from 1 species
CUGUGGACGGAGCAGCCGAGGAACAGAUUGCAUGAAAUGGGAUGAGAGCAAAGUGAUUUCAAUGCAAGGCUCCUUUUCCGUCCCUCCAUGAAGGUCAGAGACACCAGAGGUCAGACGCUUCCCUGCUGGGGUAAAGGGCGGAGGGAUGGUCUCUCCUCAGCCAGCGAAAACCCCCGGCCGGCGAUGGCGGCGAGGCCGGCGAGGGAGGGGGUCGGCGUGGGCUGGCAGGGUCCCAGGACGCUGGUCCUCCACAAGAACUCCCAGGGUUUCGGCUUCA